AUUGAACGCUGGCGGAAUGCUUUACACAUGCAAGUCGAACGGUAGCACGGACUUCGGUCUGGUGGCGAGUGGCGAACGGGUGAGUAAUACAUCGGAACGUGCCCAGUCGUGGGGGAUAACGUAGCGAAAGCUACGCUAAUACCGCAUACGAUCUAAGGAUGAAAGCGGGGGAUCGCAAGACCUCGCGCGAUUGGAGCGGCCGAUGGCAGAUUAGGUAGUUGGUAGGGUAAAGGCCUACCAAGCCGACGAUCUGUAGCUGGUCUGAGAGGAUGAUCAGCCACACUGGGACUGAGACACGGCCCAGACUCCUACGGGAGGCAGCAGUGGGGAAUUUUGGACAAUGGGCGCAAGCCUGAUCCAGCCAUUCCGCGUGCAGGAUGAAGGCCUUCGGGUUGUAAACUGCUUUUGUACAGAACGAAAAGGCUCUGGUUAAUACCCGGGGCUCAUGACGGUACUGUAAGAAUAAGCACCGGCUAACUACGUGCCAGCAGCCGCCGUAA
rnacentral:rRNA from 1 species